UAGUUUUGUUAGCUACAAAUAAAAAUCAGAUUUAUUAGAUUCUAAAGCAUACAUAUCCACUGUUUUUUGAGAAUUCACCAGGAAAAUGGUGCUUUCAAAAUAUUCAAAAGCUAUACUGUAAUUGUCUCUUACUGCUAACUGUUAAAAAGAUGGCUUCUUUAUUAUAUUUUGUUAAUGAUUAUAAACCCCUGUCGGCUCCUUCGACUCUGUUUAAAAUUAACAAGAGCAUCUGGUAAAUCAUUGAACUAGUAAUGGAACAGUCCCACACACUGCCUCCCAGCCCACUGAUACCAACCCACAAGGACAGGUUUUCAUUUAUAGGAUUCCACUAUCUGCAGCCAAGCAACCCUCUCUCAUAAAUUACACAGAACACCACCGCAAAGCCCAACCCAGAAGGAAUAUAUUUAGCAGAAACGUCUCUGCAAGGAAACCUUGUACUGAUUCUAGCAAGGGGAACAUUUGUCGUACUAUCUGGUGUCUGAGUAGUUAAAGCUUGCCAUGCAUCACCAGCUGCCAGAGCCCACAGCCAAUUCAUUUCCUGCAGCAAAGACUCACACGGGCUCGGACCAAGUGGCACUGUGCAUAGGGAGGCAGAGCCAGGACCACACGAGGAAUUCCACAAGCACUUAUACAGGCUGUUUGGACGAGAGACUGCUGAAUAUUUCCUGGACCCCCCCCCCCCACUGAGGACAGCAGCAAGCCCUUGGGUUCAGAGAGUACCGGAGGAGAUGGGAGGUACAAUGAAACACUUGGUUUUCUUCCUUAAAUGAAUAUCAGUGUGACAGGACACUUACUGUGGCUCACAGCUGUGUCCACCAAAGCUAAUUUGGAUAACAUUUUGUAGGCAUCUUUUAAGAACAUAAGAACACUUACGAAUGAGAGGAGGCAAUUUAAACUCAUCCGGUUCCUGAUCUGGAUCUCAAAACUCUGUCAAGCUGCUUCUGAAAGGAUCCAAGUGUUUCUGCCUCAACAACAUGACUGGGUAGCCCAUUCCAUACUCUUUCCACUCUGUGUGAAACUGUGUUUCCUUCACUCUGUCCUAAUUCUAUCUCUAUUUAAUUUCCAACAGUGUCCUCUGGUCCUGGUUUCUGUAAUGUGCUUAAGGUAUUGGUUUGGGUUACUGUAACUAUGUUUUUUAAGAUUUUAAAGACUUCAGUCAUG